rnacentral:misc_RNA from 1 species
GAUGAAGAACGUAGCGAAACGCGAUAGUUAAUGUGAAUUGCAGAAUUCAGUGAAUCAUCGAGUCUUUGAACGCACAUUGCGCCCAUUGGUACUCCGUUGGGCAUGUCUGUUUGAGCGUCAUUACAACAGUUCAGCGUAAGCUGGUUAUGAGUUCUGUUUUUUUAAACAAAAAACAGGCUUUAAAAUGUAUGUUCUGCAGGUCGCUUUGCUAAACCCUAAACAUUAAAUACUGUUCUAGUGAAGCAUUUGCGACUCUGCCUGAAAAAAAACUUUUGUUAAAGUUUGACCUCAGAUCAGACAAGGAUACCCGCUGAACUUAAGCAUAUCAAUAAGCGGAGGA